rnacentral:misc_RNA from 1 species
GUGAGUCAUCGAAUCUUUGAACGCACAUUGCGCCCUUUGGCAUUCCGAAGGGCAUGCCUGUUCGAGCGUCAUUAACACCCCUCAAGCCUGGCUUGGUGUUGGACUCGUGGUCUGCCGGCCCUCACGGGGUGCGUGACCGGUCCCAAAAACAAUGACGGCGUCCCGAGGACCCUCAGUGCAACGAGCUUCUCACCGAGCACGCAUUGAGUUGCAAGGUCUCUUGGGCACGGUCUGGACCUUUAUUACUUCUAAGGUUGACCUCGGAUCAGGUAGGAAUACCCGCUGAACUUAAGCAUAUCAAUAAGCGGAGGA